rnacentral:rRNA from 1 species
AACGAACGCUGGCGGCAUGCCUAACACAUGCAAGUCGAACGCCUAUAGCAAUACAGGAGUGGCGCACGGGUGAGUAACGCGUGGGAACCUGCCUAGUGGUAAGGAAUAACCGCGGGAAACUGCGGCUAAUACCUUAUGAGCCCUACGGGGGAAAGAUUUAUCGCCAUUAGAGGGGCCCGCGUCCGAUUAGCUAGUUGGUGAGGUAACGGCUCACCAAGGCUCCGAUCGGUAGCUGGUCUGAGAGGAUGAUCAGCCACACUGGGACUGAGACACGGCCCAGACUCCUACGGGAGGCAGCAGUGGGGAGUAUUGGACAAUGGGGGCAACCCUGAUCCAGCAAUGCCGCGUGAGUGAUGAAGGCCUUAGGGUUGUAAAGCUCUUUCGACGGGGAAGAUGAUGACGGUACCCGUAGAAGAAGCCCCGGCUAACUUCGUGCCAGCAGCCGCGGUAAU